UACGUAGGGUCCAAGCGUUAUCCGGAAUCACUGGGCGUAAAGCGUGCGUAGGUGGUUUGUUAAGUGUAUUGCGAAAUCCUGUGGCUCAACCAUAUGGACUAUAAUGCAUACUGGCAAACUAGAGGACGGCAGAGGCAAGUGGAAUUACUGGUGUAGCAGUGAAAUGCGUAGAGAUCAGUAGGAACACCAAUGGCGAAGGCAGCUUGCUGGGCCGAUCCUGACGCUAAGGCACGAAAGCGUGGGGAGCGAACAGG
rnacentral:rRNA from 1 species